AUGGAAGAAGAUCAAGUUAAAUUAGCAGCACUCAUCGCGGAGCUAGAGGAGCCAGUAGGUCUUUGUGACUUGCCAGGAAUUGACCCUCCUAAUACUACGAGAAAGAAGGGAAGGGCAAUAAAGAAUUUUUCUGAGUGGAUAGAGAAAGAGCCUCCAGUGAAUUGGUCUUUGCUGCAUGACACACAUGGAGCUAGGUAUGGCCACAUGACAACCAAUCUUGCAGAGGUGUAUAACUUUGUGCUGAGAGGGGACAGAGCAUUGCCACUCACAGCUAUUGUGGAGGCUGUAUUCCAUGGCACUUUGAGAUAUUUCAGAGAAAGGCACGAGUUAGCACAGAAGCAUAUUGAAGAUAAUCAGAACACACCUUAUUGUAGCCGUGUCAUGGAAUACAUGGCAAAGAAGAUAGAGAAAGCAAAGAAGCACACUGUCAGACUUAUAGGGAAUCAAGAAAGGAGGUAUGAGGUUCAGCUUCCUACCGAUGGUUUUGGUUCUGGAAAUGAGGUGAAGACACAGGAGGUAAAAAUUGGAACGGAAUUUUAUCCAACGUGUGAGUGUACAUGCAACAAACCGAAGUUGUUGCACCUACCUUGCUCUCAUGUGUUGGCUGCCUGUGGGCAGAUUGAGUUGGAUGCUAUCUCCUUCGUGUCCCCAUACUAUUUAAAAGAGGCAGUGCUCAACACCUGGACAGGCGAGAUGACAGGGUUUAGAGUCGUCGGCAAUUUCAACAAGGUAAACGAAGGUGAGAGAGUAUAUAUCCCGCAUCCAGACCUUCGGCGAACAAGUAGGGGCAGACGGAAGGCCCGUCGCAUCCGGAACGAUAUGGACCAGUCUGAAGCUGGUGGAGCAACCAGGCAAUGUUUGUUAUGCGCGGCUUAUGGGCAUAGGAUGAAAUAU
rnacentral:rRNA from 1 species